rnacentral:rRNA from 1 species
GUGGCCCCAAGUCAGGCGAGGCCCACCCGCCGAAGUUUAAGCAUAUCAAUAA